rnacentral:lncRNA from 1 species
CUUGUAUUUUGAUGUCUAGGUGUCUAACAAGGUCGGGGAAGUUUUCCUUGAUUAUUCCCCAAAAUAUGUUUUCCAAACUUUUAGAUUUCUCUUCUUCCUCAGGAACACUGAUUAUUUUUAGUUUGGUCAUUUAACAUAAUCCCAGACUUCCUGGAGGCUUUGUUCAUAUAUUCUUAUUAUUUUUCUUUGCCUUUGUUGGAUUGGGUUAAUUCAAAGACCUUGUCUUCAAGCUCUGAAUUUCUUUCUUCUGCUUUUUCGAUUCUAUUGCUGAGGCUUUCCAGAGCAUUUUGCAUUUCUAUAAGUGUGUCCAUUGUUUCCUGAAGAUUUGAUUGUUUUUUAUUUAUGCUACCUAUUUCCUUGAAUAUUUCUCCCUUCACUUCUUGUAUCAUUUUUUGGAUUUCCUUACAUUGGGCUUCACCAUUCUCUGGUACCUCCCUGAUUAGCUUAAUAACUAACCUCCUGAAUUCUUUUUAAGGUAAAUCAGGGAUUUCUUCUUGGUUUGGGUCCAUUGCUGUGAGCUAGUGUAAUUUUUGGGGGGUGUUAAAGAAUCUUGUUUUGUCAUAUUACCAGAGUUGGUUUUCUGGUUCCUUCUUACUUGGGUAGGCUCUGUCAGAGGGAAGGUCCAGGGCUGAAGGCUGUUGUUCAGAUUCCUUUGUCCCGUGGGAGUGUUCCCUUGAUGUAGUACUCUCCCCUUUUUCCUAUGGAUGUGCCUUCCUAAGAGCCAAGCUAUAGUGAUUGUUAUCUCUCUUCUGGAUCUAGCCACCCAGCAAGUCUACCCGGCUCCAGGCUGGUACUGAGGGUUAUCUGCACAGAGUCCUAUGAUGUGAACCAUCUGUGGGUCUCUCAGCCAUGGAUACCAGCACCUGUAACGGUGGAGGUGGCAGGGGGGUGAAAUGGACUCUGUGAGGGUUCUUAGCUUUGGUGGUUUAAUGCACUAUUUUUGUGCUGGUUGGCCCUCUGCCAGGAGGUGGCACUUUCCAGAGAGCAUCAGAGGUGGCAAUAUGGGGAGGAACAGGCAGUGGGUGGGGCCCUAGAACUCCCCAGAGUAUAUAUGCCCUUUGUCUUCAGCUACCAGGGUGGGUAGGGAAGGACCACUGGGUGGGGGCAGAACUAGGCAUGUCUGAGCUCACACUCUCCUUGGGCGAGUCUUGCUUUGGCUGCUGUGGGAGAUGGGAUGAGGUUCCCAGGUCAAUGGAGUUAUGUUCCUAGGAUGAUUAUGACUGUCUUUACUGUGUCAGGCAGGCUGUCAUGGAAGUGGGGGAAAGCUGGCAGUCACAGGCCUCACCCAGCUCCCAUGCAACUUGAAGGGCCAGUCUCACUCCCACUGUGCACCUCCUAACAGCACCAAGUCUGUUUCCAGGGAGUGGGCAAGCAGGGCUGAGAACUUGCCCCAGGCUACCGGCCUCCCAGCUGCAAAAGCAAAUAGGCUUUCCUUCUUCCCCUGCCUGUGGAGUCUGCACACCAGAUUCACGCCCUCCCCCCAGGUUCUGGCCAGAAGGCUUCUCCAUCAGUUCAAAUUGUUACAAAGUUCAGCUGGAGAUUUUCUUCUCCCUGUGGCCUUUUCCCAGCACUUCUGGCCACCAUCCCGAAGCACUCCUGUGAGGCCAGGCAAAAACCCUAGGGGACCCAUCAAGCUCCCAGGACUCUUCUCGCUGCUUCCUCUACCCUGUAUUUUGCUCGGCUCUCUAAAUUAACUCAGCUUCAGAAAACUGGAGAACCCCUGCCUUUCCCCUAAGAAAUGCAAAAUAGACUUCAGGCUGGUCCCAGGCUGUUUGCAGAAAACCAGACAUUGGAGGUCUCUUCCAAGAAGUUCAAAAGGGGUUCUG